rnacentral:rRNA from 1 species
GGGGGAAAAUGAGCCGGACGUCGCAAACCCCCGACCCCCAUGGACGGCAGAAGGAAAUUGAUUUUUGGUCAUUUAAGAAGAAACAAARAGUCAAUAACAGAUUUCCGUAGGGGAACUGGGGAAGGAAUCAUUAUCGAAUCUAAAGGGGAGUUGUUGCUGGCCUUAAGGGGCAUGUGCACGCCUAAAAUUUAAUUAUCCUUCAACCACUGUGCACCCUUUGUAGGCUGGAGAAAUUUGGUUUAUGUUUUUUAUACACACCUAAAACAAGUAUUAGAAUGUCAUACUUUUCAGUACACUCGAGAGGGGGGAAAAAAAAAUUAUACAACUUUCAACAACGGAUCUCUUGGCUCUCGCAUCGAUGAAGGAACGCAGCGAAAAUGCGAUAAGUAAUGUGAAUUGCAGAAUUCAGUGAAUCAUCGAAUCUUUGGACGCACCUUGCGCUCCUUGGUAUUCCGAGGAGCAUGCCUGUUUGAGAGAACAUUAAAUCCUCAACCCCCCGACGAAUUUGUUUCUGACGUGGGGCUUGGAUGUGAGGGUGUGCUGGACUCAAAUAGCAGGUCAGCUCCCUUUGAAUGCAUUAGCGGAUUUUACCAUCGUGGAUAGGCUUCGGACUGAUAAUUAUCUAUGCCGUCGCCGUCAAGCGGUAAUCUGCUCAUAACCGUCUUUGGACAAUUUUUUGACCAUUUGACCUCAAAUCAGGUAGGACUACCCGCUGAACUUAAGCAUAUCAAUAAGCGGAGGAAAAGAAACUAACAAGGAUUCCCCUAGUAACUGCGGGUGAAGCGGGAAAAGCUCAAAUUUAAAAUCUGGCUGUUUUGCAGUCCGAGUUGUAAUCUAGAGAAGUGUUUUCCGCGCUGGCCGGUGUCAAGUAUCCUAUCACAU